GACGAACGCUGGCGGCGUGCUUAACACAUGCAAGUCGAACGGCAAGGCCCUGCUUUUGUUGGGUGCUCGAGUGGCGAACGGGUGUGUAACACGUGAGUAACCUGCCCUUGACUUUGUGAUAACUUCAGGAAACUGGUGCUAAUACCGGAUAGGAGCUCCUGCUGCAUGGUGGGGGUUGGAAAGUUUCGGCGGUUGGGGAUGGACUCGCGGCUUAUCAGCUUGUUGGUGGGGUAGUGGCUUACCAAGGCUUUGACGGGUAGCCGGCCUGAGAGGGUGACCGGCCACAUUGGGACUGAGAUACGGCCCAGACUGCUACGGGAGGCAGCAGUGGGGAAUAUUGCACAAUGGGCGGAAGCCUGAUGCAGCAACGCCGCGUGCGGGAUGACGGCCUUCGGGUUGUAGACCGCUUUCGCCUGUGACGAAGCGUGAGUGACGGUAAUGGGUAAAGAAGCAACGGCUAACUACGUG
rnacentral:rRNA from 1 species